CGAAACUGCUAGCUGGCCCGUCACGUCAGUGAUGUGUGCCGGCUUGGCGUUUGUCAUCCGUUCGAAUGAUAUGCGCGCUGCCCUUCACUGGGUUGGUGCUGCAUGUUUUCGAUCUUUUACUUUGAAAAAAUUAGAGUGUUUCAAGCAGGCAUGUUUGCUAUGAAUACAUUAGCAUGGAAUAAUAAUUUAGGACUUUGCUUCUAUUUUAUUGGUUUCUAGGAGUAAAGUAAUGAUUGAUAGGGAUAGUUGGGGGUGCUAGUAUUCAUCGGCCAGAGGUGAAAUUCUUGGAUUCGAUGAAGACUAACUAAUGCGAAAGCAUU
rnacentral:rRNA from 1 species